UGGAAAAAAAUUCAUCCAAUUCUAUUGUUAAAAAUUAGGGUCACUAACGGCAUAACCAAAUAGUUACACGUGAUGUGUCACGUGUACCUUAUGCCGAUAUACAUUGACCAAUUUUUAACUGUAGAAAUGGAUGAAAUUUUUAAUA
rfam:Gossypium raimondii Chr01_contig_120, whole genome shotgun sequence.